rnacentral:rRNA from 1 species
GGAUGCGAUCAUACCAGCACUAAAGCACCGGAUCCCAUCAGAACUCCGAAGUUAAGCGUGCUUGGGCGAGAGUAGUACUAGGAUGGGUGACCUCCUGGGAAGUCCUCGCGUUGCAUUCCC